rnacentral:lncRNA from 1 species
GAUGGUGCUCUUUCCCACUAAAUGAGCAGUUAUCAAAAACUCAUACAAAGGAAGAAGUAAUGCUAGCAAGACCAACACCCUGAUCUUCUCCUCAACCUUCUCAUCUACACUGAGAAGAUCGGUGAGAAUAUUUUGAAAGUGACUGAGAUACUCCUACACACUCUAUCCUUCAUUCAUCUGCAAUUGGUAGAAUUAUCUUCAUAAAAAAAGAGC